CAGAACGCCCAGACUGGUGUGACCACCAUGGAUUCGGCUGGGACAAAUACGGGAAUCCUAAUUGAGGAUAUUGAUUGGGAGAGCUCAGGGCUCUCUCAUAACUCUGCCAACACAGGUGUUACCGUGCCAGAAAUGGAAUGUCCAUUGAAGACCGAGAACUCUACGCCUUGCCAUUGAUCCCCUUUCUCAUUCAAAUAGUUUUGGAAAAUAUAUUUAUUUGACCACACUCGCACAUGCCUUGUACCUACUUCACCAUCAUUGACAGUCAUGCCUGUGCCAAUCAGAGGACUAAAGGCUUUUAAUAAUUCAUGAUUGCUUAAGUCCAGUCUAGGACCCCAUGUAUCCAGGCACCUUAUAGUCCACCAAAUUUUUAAAAUCGGACUUCUAUCUCGCUGACACAACCACAGGGAAGUGGGAAAGAACAUAUUGAAGGACAUCUUCUCUGACAAACAUUGUAAUGGUGCGAUGCACAUGUGGAAAUGCUUUUUGUGUUGUAACAUUCAAUGUGGCUAACAAUGAUUUAUGAUCUAAAAUAUCAAAUCAAUUAGCCAUGCACACUGGGUCAUUUAAUACACUCAUGAACAGUGAAUUGGGUUAACAUAUACAAACUGGAUUUGACAAAAAAUGAAAUAAAAGACUGCACAAAUA